CCUACGGGGGGCAGCAGUCGAGAAUCAUUCACAAUGGGGGAAACCCUGAUGGUGCGACGCCGCGUGGGGGAAUGAAGGUCUUCGGAUUUUAAACCCCUGUCAUGUGGGCGCAAAUUAAAAAGAUAGUACCACAAGAGGAAGAGACGGCUAACUCUGUGCCAGCAGCCGCGGUAAUACAGAGGUCUCAAGCGUUGUUCGGAAUCACUGGGCGUAAAGCGUGCGUAGGCUGUUUCGUAAGUCGUGUGUGAAAGGCGCGGGCUCAACCCGCGGACGGCACAUGAUACUGCGAGACUAGAGUAAUGGAGGGGGAACUGGAAUUCUCGGUGUAGCAGUGAAAUGCGUAGAUAUCGAGAGGAACACUCGUGGCGAAGGCGGGUUCCUGGACAUUAACUGACGCUGAGGCACGAAGGCCAGGGGAGCGAAAGGGAUUAGAUACCCCAGUAGUC
rnacentral:rRNA from 1 species